rnacentral:rRNA from 1 species
UGGGGAAUAUUGCACAAUGGGCGCAAGCCUGAUGCAGCAACGCCGCGUGAGGGAUGACGGCCUUCGGGUUGUAAACCUCUUUUAGCAGGGAAGAAGCGAAAGUGACGGUACCUGCAGAAAAAGCACCGGCUAACUACGUGCCAGCAGCCGCGGUAAUACGUAGGGUGCAAGCGUUGUCCGGAAUUAUUGGGCGUAAAGAGCUCGUAGGCGGUCUGUCGCGUCUGCUGUGAAAUCCCGAGGCUCAACCUCGGGCCUGCAGUGGGUACGGGCAGACUAGAGUGCGGUAGGGGAGAAUGGAACUCCUGGUGUAGCGGUGGAAUGCGCAGAUAUCAGGAAGAACACCGAUGGCGAAGGCAGUUCUCUGGGCCGUAACUGACGCUGAGGAGCGAAA